GUGCCUUUUUUGGGAAUGUCAUGUGAGAGCGCUGAUGCCGUUUUGCCUGAAAAUAAAGUUGGAGCUGUCUGGAAGUUGUGGAAUGUGUAGCAGGCUCAGGGCCAGCGCUGUGUUUGGAGUCAACCGGGCCGGAUAGCAGGGUUCUCAGGGACACCCAGACAGACAGGAGGCAGCUGUGGAUCGCAGAUGCAUGCUGCAUGGACACUACAUCUGUAGCUGAGCUAGUUUCUCUGGAUUAAAAACAUUUCAUCCAGAGAUGUUUCCAAGCAGUGAUUAUCAACCAAAGAGUGAAGUCUGCCAGUUUUAGCGUCAUUGCUGAAGGCGCUGGGCUGGCUCAGAGCACGUGAGAAAUGUUCGUCCACCACAUCCCCGAUGUCUCCACGGAAAUAGGUGAACACCACACACCUGGC